rnacentral:rRNA from 1 species
AGUGAACGCUGGCGGUAGGCCUAACACAUGCAAGUCGAACGGCAGCACAGUAAGAGCUUGCUCUUACGGGUGGCGAGUGGCGGACGGGUGAGGAAUACAUCGGAAUCUACUUUUUCGUGGGGGAUAACGUAGGGAAACUUACGCUAAUACCGCAUACGACCUACGGGUGAAAGCAGGGGAUCUUCGGACCUUGCGCGAUUGAAUGAGCCGAUGUCGGAUUAGCUAGUUGGCGGGGUAAGGGCCCACCAAGGCGACGAUCCGUAGCUGGUCUGAGAGGAUGAUCAGCCACACUGGAACUGAGACACGGUCCAGACUCCUACGGGAGGCAGCAGUGGGGAAUAUUGGACAAUGGGCGCAAGCCUGAUCCAGCCAUACCGCGUGGGUGAAGAAGGCCUUCGGGUUGAAAAGCCCUUUUGUUGGGAAAGAAAAGCAGCAGGUUAAUACCCCGCUGUUCUGACGGUACCCAAAGAAUAAGCACCGGCUAACUUCGUG